UUAACUUCAUGUCAAGGGUCAAAUUUGCCAUACUGUUAAGAUUUUAAGGUAACCUUGUCCCAUCUGAAAUGCAAAUACUCUCAGACCUGGUGGCCCAUUCAUUAUGAUGGUUCUUGAGCUCUGUUACAAGAGACAGCCAAUGAAAAUUAUCUAUUAACCUACUUGAAAAAAGCCAUACAUAAUUAAUGUCUGCAGAUAAAUAGCAUUCACAUUUUGACAAGGAGCAUCAGUGCCAAUAACUCUUCCACCCAGACAGUUUUAUGUGUCUUCUCUUCACUAAUUACCAUUUUGGAAAGCUUUCAAGUGAUAUGUCUUAUUAUGGUAGAAUAGUUUUCUGAUAAAGUUCUGAUAUAUGUGUCCUUAUUUAAGGUGAAUUCUAAGAUGGCUGGGGUGAAAGUUAACAAAGUCAAGUGUUUGAAUUUAUAGAUAUCUCCAGUUUGAAGGACUCCACUUCGUUGAAAUAUACCUAGAGGCAAGAAGCCCACUACCUACGGAUGUUAUUUGCUCCUUUAGAAUUUAGUAUCAAAAGACAACUUAUGAUGCAGAACAUAGCUGGAUGCAUAAGAGAAGAACAGAAGAGAAAUACCAAAUCGGUCUCCUUGAAGCAUCAUACAAUAAUAACAGUAUUACUUAACAAUCCAGAUAUCAAGUGGUUUGAAGUACAAGUGAUAUUCAACAUCUUUUAUAACCAGCCUGGUCAGAAAAAGGCAGGCCACUGAGUAUUACCUGUUGAACGUUACCUAUAGAUGGAAAAUCUCCUUGGAUCACCAACAACACUGAAUAGGCAGCUGUUUUAAUGCUAUUUCAGGUGAAGGCUGUGAAUCUAAUUCAACAAUAAAAUUUAUACACAUUUUAUUAGAAUACA
rnacentral:lncRNA from 1 species